rnacentral:rRNA from 1 species
GACGAACGCUGGCGGCGUGCUUAACACAUGCAAGUCGAGCGAUGAAGUUACUUCGGUAAUGAAUUAGCGGCGAACGGGUGAGGAACACGUGAGGAAUCUGCCAUUCACUCUGGGAUAGCACCGGGAAACCGGUGCUAAUACCGGAUAUAUAAAUUUUGCGGCAUCGCAGAAUUUAGAAAGUUUUUCGGUGAAUGAUGACCUCGCGGCCUAUCAGCUUGUUGGUGAGGUAAUGGCUCACCAAGGCGACGACGGGUAGCCGGCCUGAGAGGGCGACCGGCACACUGGGACUGAGACACGGCCCAGACUCCUACGGGAGGCAGCAGUGGGGAAUAUUGGGCAAUGGAGGAAACUCUGACCCAGCGACGCCGCGUGAGGGAUGAAGGCCUUCGGGUUGUAAACCUCUUUCAGUAGGGAAGAAGCGAAAGUGACGGUACCUAAAGAAGAAGCACCGGCUAACUAUGUGCCAGCCGCCGCAGUAA